AACCUGCCGCAUGCAGGGGGAUACCGGCUGGAAACAGCCGCUAAUACCGCAUAUGCGCACAGCGCCGCAUGGCGCAGUGCGGAAAGGGAGCGAUUCCGGCAUGCGAUGGGUCCGCGUCCGAUUAGCUUGUUGGCGGGGCAGCGGCCCACCAAGGCGACGAUCGGUAGCCGGCCUGAGAGGGCGGACGGCCACAUUGGGACUGAGACACGGCCCAGACUCCUACGGAAGGCAGCAG
rnacentral:rRNA from 1 species